CCCAACAAAUUUUCAGGCUAAUAGUAGCACACUCCCACCGACUCAUUUCCCCUUAUCCCUUAUACAAAACCCACAACAUACCCUUACAUAAAAAUACUCCUACAACAACCCAAAACUAAACCCCACUCUUCACCGAUCUUCUUUCCAAAAACAAAAGAACGGACACAUACGCGUAUACAUACACCCAGACGCCUUCAUGCAUCGUCUUCUCCAAACAAACCCGACAACAGUACAAGAAACCUGUUGCUCUUGUCCUUCUAUGCGUGAUGGAUGUUGUGAUUCACGGAGAUCUCUCUACGUAGAGCUUCGAGAAGUUUUGAUUUAAUCUCACCAUCCAUCUCUCCUUCUUUCGUCCAAAUCCGUUGAGAGAUUGGCAUUUGUAGGAGAUUGAGUCUAAAGAAAUGAAGUCUCAAGUCUAAGCCUUAUUUUUCUCUCGUCCUGUUCAUCGUUCCCUGGAGGUUCGUCGAAGCUCACAAGUCAGAGUGAGACAUCGUCGUCUUAAGCUCGUUGUCCCAGUCGUUGCUGCUCCGGAAAAAGGUAUAUCCAUCCUCCUUUUGCAUAUUUUGGGCUCUGUUAAGUUAGUUGUUUUAUAGCAUGACUUAGAAUAUUAUCUACGGGGGUGUAUGAAUAGUUUAGAUUUGGAUGAUUUUGUAUUAAAUUAAGACUUGUUUUUCAUAAUUUAUGUUCUUAAUACUUAUUUGAUGUGUUUCCAUUUUUUAUCAAAUCUGCAGCACUUUGUCCCUUUUACUCUCCUCUGUAUGAGAUGUAUGAGAGAAGAAGCAUUUUAUUUUUUCCUAUUCCAUGAUUUCUUAAUUUAGAUUUUUCAUGUCUCUGUAUUCAUUCAACUAUUUGUCUCAAUAUAUCUUAGCACAUUUUCUUUUGUUUAAGAUAUCAUUUUCAUCCCUUGCCUUAUUUUCUUUUAAGUUGAUUAUGUAACCACCCCUUUUAAGUUUUUCUUUUUCUCAUUAUCCUAUGCAUAUAUUAGAUUCGUUCAGAUUAUUCCUUUUAUGCAAAAUUUUCUCUUAAUUUAGUACUGUAGUUUGCUAGUUUCAUAUAUUUGUUGUGUAUUCAUCAUUUUGUUUAGGUUCAUUUACUCUACAACAUAUCGCUUGAAGAUAAGUUGUGAUUCAUAAUUUAAAUCUUUUCAUCUAUUUUAAACAGUAAAAUAUUGUAUUACUUUGUUAGAUUCAAUUUGUGAUGAGCUAUCUCUUCACUUGAGGAUCAAUAGUUAUAAAAUAGCUGCAAAAUUUGCAGUUGUGUUAUAUAUGUGCUUUGGGUACUCCAUAAGUUGACAUGUAUAUCCUAUCACUAUUUGUUUAAAGGCAUGACUCUUUUAACUUGUCUUCUUUGUUGCCUCAUUGUGGUUCUAAAUUAGUAUGCUUGGUUGAACAUUGGGUUGACCCCUUGAAAAAAUGUAAUAUCCGGGUUUUUGAAGAUUGGAAUAUGUUAUAAUAAGGUUAAGCAUUGCAAAAAUGGUCUCGGUGGAUUUUUAGGUUAAGUGUUCCGGAAGAUAAAUUAUUUCAAAAAAUGCAUUUACAGUAGGGUGCAUGACAGGUCCGCGUCGUGGACUUGCUUCCCCAUAGUGCAAAUUUCCCCCCAAGUUAAAAUCUAGCCAAAUUAUCAUUUGCUCAAAAUUAGCCUAUCAGGGAACAAGUCCGCGUCGCGGACUUGGGUUAAGUUUUCCGUCCGAAUUCAAUUUUUAUGUGGGUACACUUUAUACAUUUUCCUAACCGUUAGUUAAUGAUCUUGGAUAUUUUUAAGACCUAAUUGGACUCUAUAAACUAACCUAAACCUCUAUUCUUCUUCAUUCUACCAUAAUUCAUCUAUUCAAAUAAUUCUAUCUCUACAAAGGCUUUCAAAAACUCCAUUGAAUACAUUCAAGGAAUUCUCUCAAGUUGUCCAUCAAAAGUCCAAAUUUCUUCAAGCAUUUUUGGUCUUCUCAUUCAAGUUUUGUGGGUAUUUCAUCCAAGGGUACUUUCACCCAUGGAGCCCAACAAAGUCUCAUCAUUUUAAUAAAUUCAAGUAUGUAUUUUAUGGGUUUAAUGAUCUAUAUUUUAAUUACAUGAAUUAUGAUUCAAAUUAUGAUUAUGAAUCUAUUUUAAUAUAAAUUGAUGAUUAUUGCAUGGAAUUGAAGAAUUUUUCUAUAAAUUUUCUACAUUGAUCUUUAGGGUUCAUGAUAUGGAUUAUGGGUAUUGCAAUUAUACGUUCAAUUGAUACUAUUUUUGUGAAUUAUGUGUUGAUAUAAAGUAUAUGAUCAUACAUGUUUUCAAGUCAAUCUCAUGAUUUCCAAGUCAAUUGAUCAUGUAUUCAAGUUUUCACCUUAUUUUCAAGUAUAAGUCAUGAUCAUGAAUUUCAAGGGAUCUUCAAUGAAUAUUUAUGAACGACUCAUGCAAGGUUUUAAAUGAUGUCUUAAUGAUGUUUCAAUCAAGUUUGAUGAAUGAGGGUGAGUUAAGACCCUAAUGAUACUUUUAUGAAAAAAGAUUUGUAAUGAUGGAAGGCAUCAUCCACAUUACAUGAAUCACAUGAUGAUGAGGUAUUCCUAUUAACAAGUUUUAUGAACUAUGAUAUAUGACAAGAUUAUUACAUACUAUAUAUAUGAUAUUCCGCUUAGAGUUAAUUUAGCACUAAGUGGACCUUGGGAUAGAGGCUCACCCAUUACUAGAGGUAUGAGACCGUUAGUAGAAAUUCCAUUGUCCCAUAACUACCUUCCACGUAGGAACAAGGACCACCCAUUAGUAGAGGUUUGAUUCCUUAGAAAGGAUCACCCAUUAGUUGAGGCUUGAUUCUUUAGUAGCUUAAUAGAUCCACUUAGGCAUCAGAUUCGUACCUUGGCAAGUAUGAACCCUCUUUUUUCAGUGUGUGUGGUAAACACCGAUCAUGUUAUAGCUCACAUGGUUUAUGUCGGUUAAAAAUAUCUCUUACAAAGACUUAUGGCUCUCAAAAUGAUUUUUAAUAUCCCACAUAUGUAUGGUCCUUACGAUGUUUUAAUGACUAAUCCUAUAUUUAUUUUUAUAUGAUACUCUUAUGAUUUAUUGUGCAUUGAUUCUUCUUAUGACCACUUAUACUACCUCUUUUAUCAAUCUAUUUGAAAUGGUCAUUUGCACAACAUGGUUUUCUUAUGCAUUGCAUUGCCUACAUACUUAGUACAUACAAACGUACUAACGCAUACUUCAUUGCCUACAUUAUAUCACAAUGUAGGGAUGGACGCUCCAUCCUCUUCGCGUUGUGUAGUGAGUCCUCAUGCUUCGAGGAAAAAUCGAGUCUAUCUUUUCUUUUACCAUUCUUAAACUAUAUUGGCACAUUGAGACUAUUCCAUGUCAUUUCAUUACUUUCUUUGAGGGUGAGCUACGAAUAUGUCCUAGUCCCCACAUAUGUAGCCCUACAGAGGCAUGUUGGAUAUGUGUAUGGAGUCUAUGUUGUCUUGAUUCACUCUAGUUAUGCUAUGAUUUCUUAGAUUUUUAUGAGUUUUUGCUUAUUUGUUAAUAUGAUAUGCGAAGAGGCUUGGUUGGGAUUUCUUCGAGAAUCCUAAUCGGCUUGUCACAUCUAAGCCCUAUUUUGGAUCGUGACAAAAAUGUAGAAUACAUGAACAUGUUUGAAUUAUUUAUCAUGUGGUAUGUAUCAUCUUUCUUUUAAAUAUUGAGUUUUGAUGCUCCAGAAGUUCAUUGUUUUUGUUGCAUUAUUCUUGUUCUCCUUUGGCAGUAAGAUCUCGAUAGGUAGCUUAUUGGUUGCACAAUUUGUUUUUUUAGUUUAGUGAUAUAUAGUUUAUGAGUUUAUUUCUUAUAAUGCCUUCUCAAAGUGGCCGUGAAUGAUUUUUAAAUGCUUAAUUUAUCAACCUAAUGCUAUUCCCCUCUUUUGUUGCAUGUAACCGCAUCCGAGUCUACUUGGACUCCAUCCCUUCACUUCAUUGAGUUUUGAGUUUGAGUCUGCCUCGUCUAUCGAAGAACGUCACAAUGGUAUGGAAGCUAAAAUAUGGGAAAAGAGAAUGAUAUACAGGAUUGUACAUAGCAGAUACAUAAAUGAUACGCUGAUAUGCUGUGUGUAUACAUCUACUAUAUACAGAAAUAGAAAUGGGCUAGAAAAGCCCAAAUACAGCAAUUUGGCCCAAGUACUGGCCCAGGCAAAUAGAACCAGGCUUGGGUCCAAUAUUUAUUUCCUUGUAUUGUAUCUAAUUUAUUUAAUUCUCAUUUGUUUUAUUUGACAACCAAGUUUGGUUUAACUUUAUUAAAUUCCCGUAAAAGAGGAGCCAUUUUGUGUAGGGUUAUU